GUGUUGUCCCCGUCACAUUAACAAACGUACGCCUUUUUAAUCCUCUCCGUCUUAAAAGGCGUGCGUCGGAACCCUAAAUCCACAAUUCACGCCUUCACCAGAUUGUCCGCAAAAUUCAAAUACUUCACCGGCCGCCGGAGACAAUAUCCACAAGACAAAUCUGCAGAGAAUCGUUGGUUCUCUCAUUUUAGCGCUGCAGGUUCAACGCUGAAUAUGGAGGAACAUGAGCAGACCCAUGGUAAUCUGCCAGAAUUGGCACUGGGACUGGCAUCAAGUGAGGGUCCUGUACUCAGUUUGCAGGCUGAGCAUCGAUCUAGUGACAUAGAGAAAGGAAAGGAUUUGGCACCACUAACAUGUAGACGAGCUGAUAGGCAGUUUUGGAAAAUGAAGCCUUUGGAUGCGCGUGUGCUUCUUCAUCUUGCACAAGCAGGAUUUUAUGGUGUAUAUUGCAUUGGGCAAUUACCAUUAGAUCACUCGCUUAUCACCGCACUAGUUGAAAGAUGGAGAGAGGAGACACACACAUUCCAUUUUCCAGUUGGAGAGUGCACAAUCACAUUACAGGAUGUUGCAAUUCUUUUAGGACUGCCUAUAGAUGGUGAUCCAAUCACUUCACCAGAGUCUUCCAAGAAGAUGCAGGAAUGGCAGGCUCUGUGCCAGGAGUUAUUAGGAGUCACUCCUCCACCUAAAGAUUUUAAUGGUAAUCGACUUAGGCUUCGUUGUCUCAAUGAAAGGUUUAAGAGCCUUCCAUCAGAUGCUGAUGACACUGUAAUUUUAUGCCAUGCAAGAGCUCAUAUUUUGCGUAUGAUCGGUGGGUUAUUGUUCCCUGACAAAUCUCAGUCUAAGGUAAAACUCAUGUAUCUACCAUUCCUCAGAGAUUUAGAGGCAUGUGGGAAACUCAGCUGGGGGAGUGCUGUAUUAGCUUGCUUAUAUCGUGAAAUGUGUCGAGCUAGUAAGUCUAAAGCCAAGGAGAUUGGUGGUCCCCUCAUUUUGUUGCAGUUAUGGGCAUGGGAAAGGCUUUUGCCAUUUCGUUUGGAGAAAAAACUUCCAAGAUUGAAGCCACCAUAUACUGAAGAUGAGUCGAAUGGCUCUGAUCUUGUUGCUGUGGAGGAUGUUGAAGCUCUUGUUAUCAGUGAAAGAGACCAUGAUUUACCUGGGAAACCUUUAGGGAGUAGGUGGAAAGAGAGAUUCAGGCAUAAAAAAGGUGUUGCACACAAUCUGGAGCUUUACAGAAACCAGCUAGAUAGGCUAAAGGAGGGUGAGUUUAUAUGGAGACCUUACACUCCUGAAGUUACAGCACAAUUGCCAUCGUAUUGUUUGUCUGGUCAAGCAAUUUGGCAUACAGUGUCACCACUUAUAUGUUUUAGUAUAGUGGAGUGGCAUCUUCCAAACCGAGUAAUGCGUCAGUUUGGGCUUAAGCAGAUGAAGCCACCUAAUUGUGAUACUCGCAGGGACCUUCAUCGGACUGACAUGCGUGGAAGGGAAGGUUAUGACUUUGAAAAACUUCAUUUGCACCAUGUUUUGCUCUGGAGAGAUUGUAAUCAGCAUAUCAUUCAGGGAGAGCCAUUUGACGGAAUAAUGGCUGAUGAUGAUCCUUAUCUUGUGUGGUAUCGUGAGAUUACUCGCUUAAGGAUUGGGAAUCCAAGUCAGAAGCAAGAGGAAAGAUAUGUUGAGAAGGAAGACAUAAUCAAGUCAAUAGCAGAGACAAUUGUGAGCAUCUAUAAGAAAAGCGAUGGGACCAUCAAGGAAUUUAAUGAGGAUUUGGGGUUACAAUCACUUGUACAAAUUCGAAGGAUGUGCAUCAAUUCACUGGAGACAAUGCAGAAGCACCCUGGUCCAGCUGGACAUCUUGCAUCUGAGAUCGUAGUAUCAAGGUCAACACCAGCUCCCUCUUCUUCACAUAUGCCUUCCCGCAAGAGACACAGAGGCCUUGUUGCUCCAAGAUCUCCAAGGAAAUCAAGGAAGAAAAAUGUUAAUAAAGCUUCACCAAUUACACCUACUGAUAUAACUUUGCAUCCAUUACCAGAUGCUGCAUCAAUUUCAGUUCACUCACCACUUAGUGUUCUAGCAACCUCAGCAGUAGGAUUGUCACAGGAUCCUCCAGCAAUGCCUGUUGAUCCUCCAUCCCCAUCAAUGCGUAUUUAUUCUCCAUCUCCAUCAAUGCCUAUUGAUCCUCCAUCCCCAUCAGUGCCUAUUGAUCCUCCUGGCCCCUCAGUGCCUAUUGAUCCUCCUUCCCUCUCAGUGCCUAAUGAUCCUCCUUGUCCCUCAAUUUCUAUUGAUCCUCCAUCUCCGCCUGUGCCUAAUGAUCCUCGACCCCCACCAGUCCUUUGCCUUUCAAAAAAUAAGUCAAGCUUACCAGUUGUAUUUGGAGAACUUUCCUCCUCAGUUUUACCUCUUCCACAUUCUUGUCCACCUCUUCCCCUAUCAUGGCCUUCUAGUGGUCUUUUAACUCGUGAAUGGAUCAUGGAUUUGGAGAUUGCUCUUGAUUGGUCCUCUAGGAACAUGCCUCCUGAACAAUUUUCCUCUGUGGUUCCUGAAGAGGUAUUCAAUCAAUUGGUUUUAUCAGCAUCAACUAUCAUGUCUAAAGAGCCCAACUGCCUGAGAAUAGAUGGUGAAUUGGGAUUGAGCCCAGGAUCUAGGGUUGUAGUGGUUGGAGAUUUGCAUGGACAGCUGCAUGAUCUGCUAUUCUUGUUAAGAGAUGCUAAAUACCCUGAUGAUGAUAGAUUCUUUAUAUUCAAUGGGAAUUACGUGGACAUAGGAGCUUGGGGGCUCGAAACCUUUCUUAUCUUGUUGGCUUGGAAGGUCCUUUUCCCCAACAAGGUACACCUUCUACGUGGUAAUCAUGAGACCAAACUUUGUUCUAGCAAGCAUGGGUUCAAACAGGAAAUUUUGGUUAAAUAUGGGACCAAAGGAAAAGAUGUGUACCAAAAAUGUUUGAGUUGCUUUAUAAAGCUUCCUCUUUCUUCUGUCAUAGCUGGUAAAACAUAUGUUACACAUGGAGGACUCUUUCGUAGCAUCACUAAAGGAAAGAAGAGUAAAACUUCAGUAGAUGACCUGAAGGAGAUUGGCUCUUUAGAGGACCUAUCGAAAAUAAGAAGAUUCGUCCUAGAUCCUCCUUUAAAUGGUAAGAACGCAAUUAUUGGUGAUAUAUUGUGGUCUGCCCCGUCAAUGAGCCCUGGAUUUUCCAGGACUAAUCAACAAUCUUUUGGCCUCUUGUGGGGCCCAGAUUUUACAGAUGAGUUUUUAAAGAACUCAAAUUUGAAGUUAAUUAUCAGGGGACAUGAAGGUCCUGAUGUAAGAAAAGGCCAGCUUGGCCUCGGAGGAAUAGAUGAAGGGUACACCAUUGAUCAUGAUGUGGAAGCUGGAAGACUAAUUACAGUAUUUAGUGCCCCAGAUUAUCCACAGUUCCAGCAGGCGAAAGAGGCCAGGUACCUGAAUAAGGGAGCAUAUGUUGUUUUGGACCACCCUGACUUUGAUGCUCCCUCUGUACGGAUAUUUGAAGCAGUCACUCCAAGACCCAAGGUUCUACUUCACUGACAGGCAAAUGCUUACUAUGAUUACAAAAAUGUCGCUGGUUCAAGUGAGGAAGGGAAUUUAGCGAGUAGCUCGCAUGAAGAUUUGGACUUGGCUGGUGGUUCUGAUGAAGAAAUAAAUUGCCCUCAUUAAUGUUAGUUUGGAGGACCUUCUCCACAAGAAAUUUGCAAGCAUAAGUCAAGAAGAAGUGGACACUGGUGGCAGCAGUGCCCCAUUUGAUAGCUUAUGAAGAAACAAAUCCUGUUAAGAGUAGUUCCAGUAUUUGCUAUUUCAGCCUUUGCCUUUUGGGUUAUAUGCCUGUAACUUGUGUGAACAAGUGUUACUGGAACUUCACUGGCUUUCAAGAACCGGAGAAAAAGAGGCAAGGUAUGGAAUUUUUGGUAGCAAAAAGAGUAUUCCAGCCUUGAUUUGAUGGAAGUUAUCAGUUUGCACGGGCGUCAGUACCUAUUGGAGUUUCUCUCUCUAGGCGUGCAAAACAACAGAGCCUCUGCUCCUCUGACGCUGGAGUAAGGAAUUGUCCACGUCGCCUGAUUCUUUCCAACACCCAAUUAAGAUUUGGGUAAAUGAAGCUGAGAGACAGUCCACCAGUGCAGCAUUUCGUUCCUGCCUUGCUUCUAACUGGAUUUCUGCAAGAAUAGAAAUAGUAAAGGUGGUUGUACAUUUAUUACGGUUCACUAACCUUCUGCAUAAGCUGUUUCUGGCAGCAUUUGGUUCCUGUAUUGCUACAUAACCGGAUUUCUGCAAUAAGCGUUCCUAGCCUUCUGCAUAAGCUGUUUCUGGCAGAUUCUGUGACUUUGUUUAGUAAAAUUAUGAAGUUGCUGCCUAUUGAUUGUGACAGCUUAUAAAAAAUCUUACCCCCCGGCCAUCUUCUGUACCUCAUCCUGAUAUUUAAGUAUGACCUUAUUAACCAUCAA